CACUUGUUCAGUAAGAUAUGUUUGAUAUUCUUGGUUGUGGAUUACCAUUCAACCAAGAAUCAGACAUAUAAGUACUGAGGCGUGUA
rnacentral:pre_miRNA from 1 species